UNUGACUUGAGUGCAGAAGGGGAGAGUGGAAUUCCAUGUGUAGCGGUGAAAUGCGUAGAUAUAUGGAGGAACACCAGUGGCGAAAGCGGCUCUCUGGUCUGUCACUGACGCUGAGGCUCGAAAGCGUGGGUAGCGAACAGGAUUAGAUACCCUGGUAGUCCACGCCGUAAACGAUGAGUGCUAGGUGUUAGGCCCUUUCCGGGGCUUAGUGCCGGAGCUAACGCAAUAAGCACUCCGCCUGGGGAGUACGACCGCAAGGUUGAAACUCAAAGGAAUUGACGGGGUCCCGCACAAGCGGUGGAGCAUGUGGUUUAAUUCGAAGCAACGCGAAGAACCUUACCAGGUCUUGACUUCCCGAUGCUAUUCUUAGAGAUAGGAAGUUACUUCGGUACAUCGGAGACAGGUGGUGCAUGGUUGUCGUCAGCUCGUGUCGUGAGAUGUUGGGUUAAGUCCCGCAACGAGCGCAACCCUUAUUGUUAGUUGCCAUCAUUAAGUUGGGCACUCUAGCGAGACUGCCGGUAAUAAACCGGAGGAAGGUGGGGAUGACGUCAAAUCAUCAUGCCCCUUAUGACCUGGGCUACACACGUGCUACAAUGGUCGGUACAACGAGUUGCGAGCCGGUGACGGCAAGCUAAUCUCUGAAAGCCGAUCUCAGUUCGGAUUGGAGGCUGCAACUCGCCUCCAUGAAGUCGGAAUCGCUAGUAAUCGCGGAUCAGCACGCCGCGGUGAAUACGUUCCCGGGCCUUGUACACACCGCCCGUCACACCACGAGAGUUUGUAACACCCGAAGUCGGUGAGGUAACCUUUUAGGGGCCA
rnacentral:rRNA from 1 species